UACCAAUACUAUUAUUGUAGUCAGGUUGCCUUGACAACUGGAUACUGUGCGGCUCUCUCGAUGUCAUUAUGAAGUAUUACAGCAUAAUCAAAAGUUAGAAAAUUAUUUCUCAUCUUAGAUCCUGAGUCUUACUGAGCAAUGGGAACUUGGGGGAGUAUAACUGGAAUUACAGUAUUUGAGAAGGUUGCCUGAAUUCUCACUAGGAAUAGAGUUGUAAAAGCUGUGGAAGCAAGUGCCAAGAGGAAAGAGUUAACAGUUUAGAAUAGAAUUGAAGGUAUUCCGUGUGAAUGGUAGAUAUUUUCACUCUCAAUUCUUAUUCCAACCCUGUAAAAUGGAAAGUCAUAUCAUCCUGUUUCAUUCUAAUAGAGACAGACUUUUGAAACGACUGCAGAAAGAACUGUUGGCUCUGCAAAAUGACCCACCUCCCGGGAUGACUUUAAAUGAAAAGAGUGUUCAAAAUUCAAUUACACAGUGGAUUGUAGACAUGGAAGGUGCACCAGGUACCUUAUAUGAAGGGGAAAAAUUUCAACUUCUAUUUAAGUUUAGUAGUAGAUAUCCUUUUGACUCUCCUCAGGUCAUGUUUACUGGUGAAAAUAUUCCUGUUCAUCCUCAUGUUUAUAGCAAUGGUCAUAUCUGUUUAUCCAUUCUAACAGAAGACUGGUCCCCAGCGCUCUCAGUCCAAUCAGUUUGUCUUAGCAUUAUUAGCAUGCUUUCCAGCUGCAAAGAAAAGAGAAGACCACCAGAUAAUUCUUUUUAUGUUCGAACAUGUAACAAGAACCCAAAGAAAACAAAAUGGUGGUAUCACGUCUUCUGUCCCUGGGAAUAUCCAGGGAGAUGGUUUCCAAUAUAAUGUGAUGGUUCUUAUACUCUGGGGAAAACUAAAUGACCUUCUUCUAAUAUAGUUCUCUCUCAUUCACGUUUCCCAGAAGCCCAGUGAAGUUAGCCAUGAUGAUACUUGUUGAUGCCACUGUUACCGUCCUCCUAGCAGAAGAUAGACCUACUGAGAAAAUGAGCACUUUGAUCAUUCAGUCUUUGAACUUUAACCUUUGACUGGAAAUGACCUAUAGGCAAUGAAGACUACUUCCUUUUACUGCAUUUUUACUUGUGUGCAUUCUGGGCGCAUGUUGAUCGCUGGUUCAGUCCAAGCAACUGACAUGCUUUUAUUAGUCAUACAGUAUUAAUGCAGGUGUCAGGAAAUGUCAAAUAUAAUUCCAUUUUUUAUUUUUAUUUUUGUAAGCUUUUGGAAAAGUUCCAGGUCCUCAUGUAUUAUUGUGCAAUAACAAUGACUUCCUUGGCGGUUUUGGGACGUUCAUUGCCGGCAAUGGACGUUGUAACAGGAAAAAUUUUCAUUUAACUCCUGCCACCCAAUGAUUAAUGCAUGAUAGGGCCUAUGAAAUGAACUUAUCGGUUAUAGUGGGAUUAUAAGUAAAGUGAGGGAUCCAACAUUAUUUAGAAAGUCACCCCAACUGUUUAUAUUUGGAUUCUAUGCACUGUGAUCCUAAGGUUAACAGCAUGAAUUAACAUGCGUCUUUAAAGGACUGUAAUGAAAGAUCAUUGCGUAUUUAUUGAAUUGUUUAUAUCUGCUGUCAAAUUGUUUUGACAUGGAAGGUUUUUCAAGUAACAUUGGCAGAGAGGUACAAUGUGUUAUCCCUAUGGUGAAAAUAAAUCCAUUCAUUGUAUAUAGUUUCUCAAUCUCUGAAGUAAAGGUAUGAGUAAUAUAGGGUAUGAAUGGUUUAAUCAAGGCUUUAUUUUGGAAGUAAGAAAAAUGGCAGUGAUAAUUGAACUGCUGCAGUCCAUAAUUGGGCUUGUUAUUUGUACAUUAACAAUUUUUCAAAUAGAUUACACUCUGUUAACUUCCUGCUAGCCAUCAGCAUGAGCCCUUACUGCCUAAACACUAUUUCAUUUAUUUAUGUUUGGAAAAUCCAUAACAUUUUUGUUUGCAAUUUUGUUUCUUUUGUUAUGUUUUAAGUCAAGUAUGAAUGUUAUAAUACUUAAUUGAAGAACUUUUGUCAAGUUUUUUUCUUGUAAAAUUUCUUUACUUGUAAGUAUCAUCUUGUCCUUCAAUCCUGUACCCUAAAAUAAGAAAUACAUUUUUGACAGAGGCUUAAUGUUUUAA